GGAGAGAUGGCUCAGCGGCUAAGAGCACUGACUGUUCUUCCAGAGGUCCUGAGUUCAAUUCCCAGCAACCACG
rnacentral:tRNA from 1 species